rnacentral:ncRNA from 1 species
CUUAAAUCAAUGAGAAGGAUUAGUACAAUCUCCCACUGUAGCCAAGAGAGCCGGAAUUGCUGGAAACCGGUAUACACGGAAAUUGGAAUGGACCUUUGAGAGUGCUCUGGAAAAUACAGUACAGUGCAACGGCUUAUCCUCGUUAAUGGAUCAAUGAAGUGGAAGGAAAUUACAGAUAAUACUCCUUCAAAUAGUGGUGGCACCACGGUAGAAAUAACCGUCCCUAUU